UACGAAGGGGGCUAGCGUUGCUCGGAUUGACUGGGCGUAAAGGGCGCGUAGGCGGUUCGUACAGUCAGACGUGAAAUUCCUGGGCUCAACCUGGGGGCUGCGUUUGAUACGUGCGGACUUGAGUGCGGAAGAGGGUCGUGGAAUUCCCAGUGUAGAGGUGAAAUUCGUAGAUAUUCGGAAGAACACCAGUGGCGAAGGCGACUUACUGGACGACUGUUGACACUGAGGUGCGAAAGCGUGGGGAGCAAACAGG
rnacentral:rRNA from 1 species